GUAUAACAGUGCAACUAUAAGAAGGUGGAAGGCCAGUUAUGAAGUCCAGAAAUGUCCACAAAAAUAGCAUAUGGAAUGGGAAGGGGAAAAGAAGAACAGCAGGCUUUGAAUAGGUAUCCUUCAUUUGUUGACAUAUUUGACAGGAUCGGGUGGAAUGACCAAGUGGUUUCGAAAGAGAAGAAGACCAUAUUGAAAGAAAAAGUGGGGCAAUGAGGCAGGGUCAAUAGACAACUGUAGCUGAAGGUCCAGUAAAUUUUUAUUUAUUUUGUUAAGUUGUCGCAAUUUUUAGAUCAAGGCUAUCUCAGUGACUACCAGAGUUAAAUCAAGAAUAGUGGGAACUCGAUAUAACGCAUCAGCAAUGGAGUUCAGCUUGCCAAGAUGAUAUUAGAUUUUAAAAUCAAAACCAAUCAACUUGCUGAGCCAAUGUUGCUGCUCAGGUGUCUGAAUAACCUAAUUAGUGAGGGAUUUUAGUGGUUGUUGAUCUAUAAUAAUGAGGAAUUUUUUACCCAACAAAUAUUGUCUCUACGUUUGAACAGCCUAUGAAAUAGCAAACAUCUCUCUUGUGUAAGUAGAAGCUGCCUGUAUUCGUGCAGAUAUCUUUUGGCUGAAGAAGGCAAUGGGGUGUCCUUCUUGACAUAAAACAGCCCCAAUACUAGUGCCAGAAGCAUUCGUCUCCACAGAAAACAUUUUAGAAAAAUUUUGCAAAGCGAGUACGGGAACAGAACUCAAAGCUUUCUUUAGAAUGAUAAAGGCAGCAGAGGAAGCAUCUGACCAUACAAAGGAUUCCUUUUUCAAAAGUUUAGUUAAUGGUGAAGCUAGUUGGGCAUACCCUUUGACAAAUCAGCUAUAAUACCCCGUUAAGCCUAAAAACCCACGAACCUCUUUAAGCGAUGUUAGGCAAGGCCAUUAUUCAAUAGCACAAAUCUUUUCAGGACAACCUGUAAACUGAUGAAGGAGAUUAUAUGCCCCAAAUAUACAAAGAAGGUUGUCCAAAGUGAUAUUUAGAAUACAUGACCACCGGAGAAUAUUGGUGCAACAACUCAAAAACACAGCGCAAAUGAGUAAUAUGAUCCUGCCAAGUCGUACUAUAUAUGAGUAUAUCAUCGAAGAAGACGGGGACAAAGUGUUUAAGGAAAUGAUUGAAUAUGGCAUUCAUGGUGGCUUGAAUAUGGAAUUAAUGGUGAUCUUGACCUGACAUGUGAAUUGAAUAAAAGUGAUGGUGGAAGGUCUACCAGACAAAGCUUGAUAGCUGAUAGUAAGGAGGGAGAAUUCAGUUGGCAGGGAAGAUAUAUUCGCUAUCUAAUAUAGGCAAUGGAGAUGGAGGUGUGGAUUCUUCUGGUGGUUCAUCCUCAUAGAUAAGGAGAAAAAGUUUCGAAUGAGAAGAGCAACGAUAACCCUUGUGAUAUUUUUCAUCACAAUUGAAACAAAGAUUAAGCUCACAUUUGUGGUGAAUUUCUGCCUGACUGAGUUUUCAAAAAGGAACAUGACCAAUACCAAGAAGAGAGGUCGCAGGCAACGAAGAAGAAUCGGUUGAAAGAGGUGUAUUGAACUUGGGGGUGAAAGUGGACUGCGCAGGCAAAGACACAACAAGGGCUUUGAAAAUUGAUUGGGUCGGGUCGGUGGCUUCACUUGGCCCAAAUGUUUUUGAUCGUGUAAAUAGGCCAGGCUAAUAGCAUCAUUUAGAGUAUUGGUCUGAAAGGAUAAUACCUCACUUUUUAUAUUUGGAUGCAACCUGGAAAUAAAAUAGUGCUUCAUCAUAUCAGGAUUAAGAUGGGAGGUGUGAUUGGCAAGUUGUUCGAACUGAGAAAGAUAGUCCCUAACAGAAGACGUCAUCUGGAGCUUAUCCAAAAUUCCCUCUGGUGCUUCCAUAGAUUUGGAACCAAAAUGAAUUACAAGUGUGUUGGUGAAGUGCUCUUAACCGAUGAGUUGAUGAUUUUUAUGCAUCCAUUAGUACCAAUAUCUAAAAGUACCCUCAAGGUAAAAAGAAGCUAAGUUCAAACGAUUUUCAUCUGGGAUAGAAUAAACAUCAAAGUACUGAUUUUCCUGAAACACCCAACUUUCAGCAUGUUAGCCAUCAAAUUUUGGUAAGUCGAUUGGUGCAGGUUUGUCUGGACGAAGGAGUGUAAGGGGGUUGUCUUUAUGAAAAGGUGUAAGGGGGUGUUGUUAAAUAGGUGGUGAAUGAGGAAAUUGGGUAAUAUUUGGGUUUCGCGUUGGGGAAGAGAGGUUCUGGUAAAUGAAAUUUUGAGGCAGGGGAAUGGAAGAAGGACCAGAGGAGGUUGGAUUAGCACUUUUUCCAGAGGCUGGGGGGUUGAUGCUGGAUCUGAAGGGUGGAAAGUUGAGACAAAAUAUCCUGAAAAGUGGUGUUAAUGGAAUCAAAAGACUUACUAUGAGAAGCAACUUCUUCUUGCAGAUGUCUGACGGCAUCGUCCAUUGUCCUCAAACGAGUAUUGUGAGCACCAUCACCCAUUGGUAGAGGAGGUUCAAUGAAAUCACCAAAUGGAACAAACUAACUUUUAUUGAAAGAUGGAGAACAACUUACAAUUACUGAAAGUUGUAGAUAAGCUAAAAAGGAAAAAAAAAUAUGAAUGGAGUGAGACUCCAAACUAUUACAAAGCUAAGAAAUUAAAAGACAACUUCAUCCAUGAUCCUAUUUGGUAGAAUCCCUUUUUAUUAUAUAAAUAAGUUAUGUUGUAGAGCUCCUAGCAGCACUGCCUGGUGCUACUGGUACUACUGGUACUGGCACAGUUGGCCCUUGCUUGGUAUUUGGGACCACAUAUUGGUCCAAUUAUUUAGGGGGUUGUUUGUCCCUGUUGCUGCGGCGUAGUGUUUCCCCAUGGUCUUGCAGAUUUGUUACACAUCUCCUCUAUUAUGUAGAAUAUUGUUGUAUAGUUCUUCAGAUAUUGUAUUGUGAAUUAGCCUUCAGCUUGUAGAUUUGCUGGUACAAUCUUCAUAUCUGAUGCAAAAAUGUAUUUGUCAGUUUUA